UUUCUAGUUUGACUGAAACAUUUUCUCCUAAUAAUAGGUUUUAGUGGCUAUGCUUAUGGGAUAGAUUAAAAUUGCCAUGAUCUGAAAAUGAUUUAUUUGUUUCCUCCUCCUAUAUGAAAUGGCUGAAUAGAAAAUU